AUGGCGACGAGUGCUGCUCCGGGUCAACGCCAUUGUGCCUCCUACUGCGGAGUGCAGUACUCACCUCACCGCGCUGCAGUCCGUAUUUCCAAUGCAUGCAGCUCGCAACCCGCCGAUGUGCCGUCUAGCAAAAAUUCUGCAGUGCACUUGCCCAUGAGAAGUUCACUUCUUUUUCUAAUGCACUUUGUUUCGUUUGUGGCUCUCGAAAACAUGCAUAGAAGAAAAGAAAAAAAAUUAAGUGCAGCUCACUUAUUUCAUUACUGUAGUGAUCUUCUAUCUCCGAGCGGCUCACUAUGUUGCCAAGUGCAAAAACAAAUUGGAAGAAAACAAACUGGAAAAUUUUGA
rnacentral:rRNA from 1 species